ACCUAUGACCAAAUCACCCGGGACGAGCGCAAUGCUGUCAAAUCUAGGAAGCAAAUCAGGGCUGAGCCUAGAGAGUACUUGGAUGGGUGACCAUUAUACGUAAACAGUUUGUCAUAGGUU
rnacentral:rRNA from 1 species